rnacentral:tRNA from 1 species
AAGUAGCUCAAUUGGGAGAGCGCUGUGUAGGGGACACGGAGGCAGCGGGAUCGAAACCCGCCUUCA